GCCAUUUUGGAAGUUCGUUAUCUUUCGUUUGGUGUUCGGACGGACGACGUGCUUUAAUCUUCAAUUUUGGUCCAAGGGCUAAGAGCUGUUUAAAGGUCGUAAUACCUGAGGAAACCGCUUACAAUUGAGAAAAUGCCGCCUCUUGAAACAGAUGUAGAGAGGGAAACCGAAGAGGUAGUACGGCUGCGGUACCAUAUGGUACAUGAGCUUGCAGACCUAAGCUCGAAGAUAAAGAGGGUUCUGUCAGAAUGCUUGGAAAAGUAUAAGGAAGUUGAAAGAGAACGGAAACGUGCAGACCUGAUGGGUCACAUAAAAGAAAGCAAAACAAGAGAAACUCAGCGUGCGGAAAAGGAAGAGAUAGAAGAGGGACCGAGAGAAUCUGUCCAGGAGAUGGAGUCUACACAUCAUAAGAAUACCUGAAAUAGAUGACAAAGUAAAUGAAGCAGAAGCAAUAAUUUAGUAACUAAUAGAAGAAAAGUUUAAAGUUUUGAAGGACGAACUAGAUCUGCAAAUAAAAAAGCUCAUAGGCUGCCAGUAGAACAUCACGAAAAGAAAGCAACACCUAGACAUACCCUAGUGACGUUGAACUGGAAAGAUAAAGAAAAUUCUACAAGUAUUCAGAGAAAACAGGUUACUUAUAAAGGGAUAAAAGACUGAUAUUUCUUUUGCAGUUCUAAAUGCCAAAAGAUAAUGGAACAAUAUCUCCAGAGGUUUAAGGGAAAAUAAUUUUGAGCCAAGAGUUCUAUAUCCUAAAUUACUUCUAUGCAGAGCAACUAGAAGCCAUUCACCGAAGCAGGAGUUAAAAGUACAUCACACAAUGCUGUCCUUGAAAAAUUUGCUAUAUGAUGUUACUGCAACCUACAAAGACCGUGAAUUAAAACAACUGAAGAUAGUAAGGCAAUUGUAUGAAAAAAAAAAAGUAGGGUUUAAAAAAAUGUGGGUAACCAUUAAAGCUAGUUAAACAUUGUUAAGUUUAAAUUGUUCUAUGAAGGGGUAUAAGACUAAAUGCAAAAAUAGAUUUGUAAGUUCAACCUAAAAUUUAGUUCCCUCUUCAACUGUGAAAAGGUUUGGUAAAUGUUUAAUUUAGAAAGCAAGUAAGUACUGUUACUUUUAGUAUGUACUGUAGAUAAAGAUAUGCGUGCUCCUCAGCUAAACAUAAGUAAAAUAAAAGGGCUUCGUCAGUGUGGAGAAGACACAGUAAAGGCAUUCCACGUGUUAAUCUGACAAAAUAGGAAAUCGGUACGGUUUAGCUUUCUCUAUUUUUAAUUAUAGAGGGGGGAAAAGUAACAAGUUUGUCUGUAAUGUUAAUACUGUGUAAAAAAAAUUUUUCUAAAUCCCUGGUCAGAGAGGUGGUAGAUAAAAACCUUAUUUUGUGUACAUCUUGCCCAGGGAAAAUCAAUAGCUUCUGCUUCAUGUAGUAGUUCGUUAUAAGUAAAUUUGACCCUGAGAUAAGGUUACAAGUAAAUUAGACUAUACCAGUUUUAUGGAUUGGAGAGGAAGUGUGAAAAAACAGCAAGGAAACAUUAACAUUUUUAUCAAUAUUUAAGGUAUAAGAAAGUAUAAAAAUGUAGGAUGUAGUAUUUAAGCUUUAUGUGGUAACUAGCAUGGCAUUCAUAUGUAAAAUGUUUAGUAUCUUGAUGUGAUGGUAGUUUUACUGAUGUAUACAUAGUUUUUUUUAAUUGUAUACUUAAAAUCGUUGCAUCUUAUGUACUUAAUAAAGUAAUUCUUAAAUACAUAUGGCAAAAACUGA